rnacentral:rRNA from 1 species
ACUCCUACGGGAGGCAGCAGUAGGGAAUCUUCCACAAUGGACGGAAAACGUCUGAUGGAGCAACGCCGCGUGAGUGAAGAAGGGUUUCGGCUCGUAAAACUCUGUUGUUGAAGAAGAACAUAUCUGAGAGUAACUGUUCAGGUAUUGACGGUAUUAACCAGAAAGCCACGGCUAACUACGUGCCAGCAGCCGCGGUAAUACGUAGGUGGCAAGCGUUGUCCGGAUUUAUUGGGCGUAAAGCGAGCGCAGGCGGUUUUUUAAGUCUGAUGUGAAAGCCUUCGGCUCGAACCGUAAGAAGUGCAUCGGAAACUGGGAAACUUGAGUGCAGAAGAGGACAGGUGGAACUCCAUGUGUAGCGGUGAAAUGCGUAGAUAUAUGGAAGAACACCAGUGGCGAAGGCGGCUGUACUGGUCUGUAACUGACGCUGAGGCUCGAAA